CCUACGGGUGGCAGCAGUGAGGAAUAUUGGUCAAUGGGCGGGAGCCUGAACCAGCCAAGCAGCGUGAGGGAAGAAGGCGCCAAGCGUCGUAAACUUCUUUUGUACGGGGACAAAGGGCGCCACGUGUGGCGUUGUGAGUGUACCCGAAGAAAAAGCAUCGGCUAACUCCGUGCCAGCAGCCGCGGUAAUACGGAGGAUGCGAGCGUUAUCCGGAUUUAUUGGGUUUAAAGGGUGCGUAGGCGGGCCGGAAAGUCAGCGGUAAAAGCCCGGGGCGCAACCCCGGCGAGCAGUUGAAACUGGCGGACUAGAGACGGCGAGAGGUACGCGGAAUGCGCGGUGUAGCGGUGAAAUGCAUAGAUAUCGCGAAGAACCCCGAUUGCGAAGGCAACGUACCGGCGCCGGACUGACGCUGAGGCACGAAGGCGCGGGUAUCGAACAGGAUUAGAUACCCUUGUAGUC
rnacentral:rRNA from 1 species